CAGCCGCCGCGGUAAAACCAGCACCUCAAGUGGUCAGGAUGAUUAUUGGGCCUAAAGCAUCCGUAGCCCGUUUUGUAAGUUUUCGGUUAAAUCCAUGCGCUUAACGUAUGGGCUGCCGGGAAUACUGCAUAACUAGGAAGUGGGAGAGGUAGACGGUACUCGGUAGGAAGGGGUAAAAUCCUUUGAUCUAUUGAUGACCACCUGUGGCGAAGGCGGUCUACCAGAACACGUUCGACGGUGAGGGAUGAAAGCUGGGGGAGCAAACCGGAUUAGAUACCCGGGUAGUCCCAGCUGUAAACUAUGCAAACUCAGUGAUGCAUUGGCUUAUGGCCAAUGCAGUGCUGCAGGGAAGCCGUUAAGUUUGCCGCCUGGGAAGUACGUACGCAAGUAUGAAACUUAAAGGAAUUGGCGGGGGAGCA
rnacentral:rRNA from 1 species